AUAGUAGUGACCACCAGGACAGAUGCGACACUGUUGUGUGGGUGCUGGAGAGGAUCUUUUCCACAUUGAAUUCCUGGAUCAAAGGGUACAAACUGCCUGAGGCUCUGCUCCAGCUCGAGAGACCCCCGUCCAGCACCCUGGGCCCAGGCUGCAGCAGAGAGGCUGGACUCUACCCACAUCGAAGCCUUCCGAGGGCUCCAGCCCUUGCAUUUACUUUCGACGAUGUCGAUGGCAGGAGGAAGAGACAUCAGAGGAACGAAGGCCAUCUGAAAAGGUG